GACAGAGGGUGCAAACGUUGUUCGGAAUUACUGGGCGUAAAGCGCGUGUAGGCGGCUUCGUAAGUGGGGUGUGAAAGCCCUCGGCUCAACCGGGGAAGUGCACUCCAAACUGCGAAGCUCGAGUCCCGGAGAGGAUGGUGGAAUUCUCGGUGUAGAGGUGAAAUUCGUAGAUAUCGAGAGGAACACCGGUGGCGAAGGCGGCCAUCUGGACGGUGACUGACGCUGAGACGCGAAAGCGUGGGGAGCAAACAGG
rnacentral:rRNA from 1 species